ACCCCGUGGCGCAGUGGCUAACAGGCUUGACUUCGGAGCAAAUGGUCCCGGGGUUCGAGUCCCCGCAGUGGUG